UUUUAACUAGCAGCGAAAUAUUGUUUCCACAAUGAACUGAUAACGCUAUAGUUGAAAAACCAUGAACUAUUAACACAUGGCUCUGUGCCAAGAGGUGUUGCUUUUACAGUACUAAAGUAAGAUUUUACUCCGCUCCGUCCCUUUAUAGUCCCAGCCAGGCUAAGACUUGUGGCCACGCAACAUAAGAUCACCAUGCAUCACAACUAAUAAUAAUGAACGGUUUCAUUGUGACCCAGAACUUACUGCAACAUGACAGUCAGCCGAAAUCCAAACCUUGAGAAUUUCGCACAAACUACAUUGCAGGUCUUAUAUUGCACGGCCACAAUUCCAUAUGUAGCCCUUUGCCUAAAUUAUAAAAUCAAACCACUUUAUACACUGACUCAAUGGCAUAGGGUGUUGUAACUAUUGUAAUACCACGAGAAAGUUUAGAGGCAGCAUGUUGUAUUAAUCCAAUGCAUGAUUUCACAUAUGCAAUAGCCUACCCAAACCCAUGCCAGUAACCAUGAUCUGGCCAAACCCCGAAUGAAUUGAUUAGUUGCUUUACAGAUCACUUUAUCUUGAAUGGGCUGCAUACAAAAACUAUAAAAGUUUCUGAAAUUCUACUUGUAGCAUUUUCAUUCUCAUCUGUAUAGAAAUGGUACUCAUUUAUUUUACAGCCAUUAUUGGCAAUAUGAAUGUGUUCUACCAUUAUCUUUUAUGCAUUCUUUCUUUGGACCACAUGUAGCGUUCUGUAAUGUAGCUCCUCGUGACUUGCUCAAUGAAUGAGAGGGCUCACAGACAAAAGAGACACAUGGGGCAAGCUACUUUUCACACUCAAUGGACAUGUUAGAAGGCAGUCUAAUGUACACAUAAUGUAAUGGUUCACAGUGACAUGGGUCACAUUCAUUGAAACAUUUAUGUCAUGGUUGCCUAGAACUUAAGAUAAUAGAAAACCCUUUAUUACACUCAAAGUGGUAUGGUUUUAGAUGUAGUUCACUUUGGCCACUUAUGUAUUCUCAGUUUUUGCAAAGGAUGAUUGAGGGCUCAUGCCCACAAGCGUACUUGCUCAGUGCCCAUAUUGUGACCGUUAACGGCCGGUCCGCAGUAUAGGGCACUGGCCAUGUGCACUUCGUAUCAGGGAUGUGGACCCGUUGACUUGACUGAAGAUAGUGCAUCACCUAUCUUUUUGCAGUGCAGAGGCACGGAUCGGAAGCACUUCCGUGGGUUUCUAAUUCGUGCCUUCGCACCACAGAACUAUAGAACAUGUUCUAUCUUUGGCCGUAUGUUGCGGAUCACAGACACAUUCAAGUGAAUGGUUCCGCAAUCCGCAAGCAGAGUGCACACGGCCGUUGCCAGUGCAUUGCGGACUGUCUACAGCAUGGGCAGUGAGCAAGUACACUCGUGUGGAAAAUGUGAAAUGUCCAACACCAGAGGUUAUUUUAAAAAGUUCUUCGUCUUAUAUAAGAUUCUCAAGACAAACUUUGCUUACUUAACUUUUGCUUUUCUACUAUGUGCCCUUUUGUUUGGCUAUGUUCCAGGCAUCAAGACCACAUGAAGGAAUGAUUGGCACUUGAUGUUAAGAGUGAGGAUAUAAACAUGUCGGUGUUACAUUUUCAAUUUCAUGACACUUUGUAGUAGUAGAAAUCCUAAAGCUUGCGUUGAUGAAAUAUUAAAAAGUUAGCAGGUGACAGAUAUAUGGAAUUGAAAAAUAUUUCCCAAGUAUUUUCAUGUUCUGUAUUGCAUCACACAUUCCCUAUGUUUCAGGCUUGCACUUAGUGGCUACUUCAUCUCAAGGCUGGUUGCCUGGGGAAAAUGAUUCAGUAAAUUAAUAAAUGUUAGGGCAAUGAAAUCAAGUUUAUUUUGCUGAUACAGGAGAAAUGCAAAAUGCCACAUGUGAUUAUUAGUUAUAUCUAAAAAUGUGUUUCUAGAUAAUGAUGUGUAAAUCCUCACUCAUCGUGCAGUAUUUGUGAUGUACACUAUCUUGCCUUUGAAAAUGUGUAUAAGUCUAGUAUAUGUCAGUGUUUUAAUUUAGCCCCGGAAGUUCUGUUAUAUUAGCCAUUCUGUGAACUAUCAAGCCGCAACGAAGAAUCAAAUUUUGGGCCUGUUUAGAUCCCCUAGCAAUUUAUUGCCAUUUUGCAAAUAUCUGACAGUAGCAUCACAUUGAAUCCUGUUCUAGGAAUUUCAUUUAUAUAACUUUUUGGAUUUCCAAUACACAUUAUGCUAUAUAUUGUACUUGUACAAAGGUUAUGCUAUUUUCUGCACAGUAACACUUGAUUGAAGAUUAAGUGGUGUGGCUGAAGAGCAGAUGCCGCAAUAUACUUUAUUACGCUUGGCAGUGUUUGAUUGCCUCUUUUUUUGUAUUUAUUAAUAGGAAAUAUGUAAUUUUUUUGUGCUCACCUUCGAUUUUUAAGCUAUGUAAUAGUUUUCUCCAUGCUCUUAAUCUACCCUAGAUACUGCACGAACAUGUUUGGAUUUGGUUAGCCAUGUUUCUUUACUGCAGUGACUUGUAACUACUUUGUUUUAGAUGCUAUUUAUUAUCUUAAUUGAUAAUCAGUAAUGACUUGUCUAUACAAUUUCCCUUGGUUUUACUCAGUUUGGAUUAGUAUCUCGGAGCAGCCAUUUCACAGCUUCUUUCAUUUUUAUUAUUUUUUUCUAGCUAAUUCUUUGAAACAAUUUUUUUCCGUCUUUCUUCCCAAUAUCGUUGUCACCACACCGUUUGGAGAUUGAAUUGAUUAUUGUAUUACCCUAUGUCACUUGUAUCAUAAUGGAUAGAACUGUUAUCUGUUGUAAUUACAGUCUGGAGACUUGUGCCAUAACAAUUGAUGUAACAUUGGUAGUAGAUGCUAUUAUCUCCACGAUCCCUGGGGGCCCAGCUGCUAAUCUUAUAUACUGUGCAUGCAGUUUCCUAUUUACCCUUACAUCAUGUAUUUAGUGUCAUUUAUGUGGAUGAUGAACUCUAUUUUUGUUGCUCCCAGAGAGACAGACAGCGCUUGUAAUACAUUUGUAUUUGGCUGGUUGCAUUAAGGGUAAGGAAAGAUGAGGUGGUUCCAACUUGGAUCUUUAUUGGAGCUCACGAACAUUAAGCUGUAUCUUCAGUUUCAUUUUAAAUGAACUUAAAUAAAUCCCUCAUGCAGGACUACUUAUUAGAAGCCAUUACUUUAGAUGUACAUACAUUUCUAAUGCAAGAUGACAGCAGUUGAAAGUAACUCAACUGUAAUAAUUGUUAAUUUAACUUACAAUGAGUAUUGCUUGAUAGCAGAAUGCAUGAACAGUGCAGAUAUGUAUUGAAAUAAAUACUCAAAUGUCUUGUCAGUGUUCUGACGGGAAAGUUUUGAAAGAAAAACUCGAUUUCCGUUGACGUUUUUGAUGCCAGAAUUAGGUGACAGAGAAUUUAUUAAGUUAAACUCAGUUCCUAACUGUUUAAGUUUUUAUUAAAUUACUUGAUAAUAUCCUGUUAAUAUAUACCAUGUUGUAUCUACAAAUAUGAUGAUAAAACAGCAUAAUAAACUAUAAGCCAUAUUACUGUACUUUAUCAGUGGUUACACACAAUUAAAGUGUGUUGCUAAGUAAGAAGAGGUCUAAUAAUCUAUACUGUCAACUUGCACAAGCUUCAAGGAGUAGAAGUAAUAGCCUGUUUUGGUGUUACAAAUUUGUUUCAUCAGUACAAACAAUAUCCUCUUCACCUUGUAUCUCGUGAUCUGUGUCCUGCUGCUGCUGCUAUACGUUAUGUUCAACAAAAUGCUAAAACAAAUUUAAAGCCUAAAGGCCCCCAUACACAUUGAUUUGUUGUUGCCAGAAACCCCCUGAGAGCAGCAUUUUCAGAUCACAGUGUAAUGUGUAUGGGGAGCUUCUGACUCUCCCCCAACAGAUGAUGUUGGGAAGAGAAAGAUUGGGCAAAGUGAAUGUUUUCGCCCAAUUCUUUAGUACUUCCAGGAGAUGAGCUGCCACCAGAACUGUCAGCUGAAAGCUAUUAAAUGUGUAUGGAAGCCUUAAAGGUGUUAUCCAACUCUUUGUAACAGGUCAUCUGAUUGGUGGGGGCCGCUAAUCAGCUGUUAGAGAUGGUGCUGGCACUCCUGUGAGCAUUGCGGCCUUCUCACUGCUUAACCUAGGCCAGCCACAUCACUCAUCGCCAUUUAAGUGAAUUUGACUGAGCUGUGAUACCAACCUCAGCCUCUGCACAAUGUGUGGCCCUGUGCUUGGUAUGCUGUGAGAAGGAGGUGGGACUCAGUAGAGCCACGAGACCUUCUCAAAUAGCUGAUCAGCGGAAGUCCGGGGUGUCGGACCCCCACUGAUCAGAUGCUGAUGACCUAUUCAGAGGGUAAUCCCUUUAACACAAUUGUAGUAAGCUGUAUACACAGAGUUCAGUUGAAUAACGUCCCUUUGCAGAACCUGGGGUUAUAUCUGUUCUUGUAUACCCCUUUCUUCAUUAUAUUCUGUGAGGUGUGUUAGUUCAGGUUGCUUGGCAACCAGUUGACUUCUUUUCUUGGUGACUACUACUUAGGUUUGUUUUAAGAUCUUCCAAAAAACGACAGGAAGCAUGAAAAUGGUGCAGAAAAUCAUGCAGCUUCAGGAUAAAAAAUUUGCUAGACAAGGGAGGAAAUAUGCAAGAUGUAGAAAGUUGUGUGUUCAAUGUGUACUGAAAAAAGACUUUGUAUAGCAAAUAGAUAAAGGAUUUUUCAAUCAUUAAAGGGCAGACCUGCAAAGAGAAGAAUACUUGCGUGCUUCUCUCCCCAGCCUCCGCUGCUCUGCUGGGCUUCAUGGAUGUAAACUUCCUGUUUGAUGCAGCUGUAGCCGACCUGCUUCUCUUGCAUCAUGACAAAUGGGAGGAGGCCACCGCUGCGGCAAGCAAUUAGCUGCAGUGGCAUCUAGAAAUUUGCAUACAGGGAGCGCAGUGGAGCAGCCAAGAUCCAAGAAGUGAAGGAGUUGGGACACAGCACCAGGAAGCAGGUAAAAAUGCUUCCCUUUGCAGUUUUGCUCAGGAGGAAGGGGGAUGCCAACCCCCAACCCCAACAAAAAAAGUUCCCCCAACCGCAACAAAAAAAGUUGCACAACUCC